AUAGGUACUGGUAAAGACUUUCUUUCUGGUUGGCAGAUGGUUGCCCUCUUGUUGUCUUUAUGUGAUAGAGGUGAGAGAGAAUUAGGUUGUCUUGUGUUUCUUCAUCUAAGGACACUAAUUUUAUCAGGGCAGGGCUCCACCCCCUUGACCUCAUUUAACCUUUGUUACUCCUAUAAAGGCCUAUCUCCAAAUGUAAUCACACUGAGCACUGGGGAUUCAACAUGCUCAUUUGGAGGGGACACAAUUCUGCCCAGAGCCCUGCCUCCAUGAGAUCACAUUAUAAACUUCUCUAAUGCAGGUAUUUCCUCAUUUAACUUUGUAUGCUGUAGACAUACAAAAAAUUGAAUGACAAAAUUGAAAACCCACCAACAUGGAUCUCUGUGUAAUUAAGGGCAAUUUUAUUUAGUAUAUAUUAUGUCUUUCAUUUAAUUUAAAUGAUAUAUUUUAAAGCGACCAUCUAAUUCCUUCUAUCUUAAAUUUUUCUUUUUGUGCAGCCAGUUGUACGUGUCAGAAAUAUGUAUCUGUUUAGAAGUUAUAUCUUUCAUAACUAUACAGGAAGAAACAUCAUCAAGAUUAAAAGUGGAACUCAAACCGAAUGUGAAGAAUAAAUUACAAAAGCAAAGCCAAGAAGAAUGUUUACAGAAAAUCUCAAACUAAGAAAAAUGCAGACUGCUUCGUUUAUUGUAUAGUAGUAAGAAAAAUUUCAGGUAAACAAGUAAAUGUGGUACCAUUUAAUGCAGAGCAUCGGGAGGGGACCUUGUGAAUACAGCUUCCCAUUAGACCUCCUUUGCAUUUCUCAUCAUACUGUCGACUUUGCUUGGGGCUCACAUUUCACAGCAUUUUCUAAGUGGUGUUUCAUGUAUCCUUAAAUUUCUAGAGUAUAACAGAAAGUCUGGUUUGUAUCCAUCAUAUGAGUUGAAGGGAAUGUGAAAGCAAAAUGGCAAGAUUGAAAUGAGUAGAAAAGCAUUUGCUUCGAUGUGGGACUUCUGUUAUUAUAAAGUAAGAAAGAACACAUUACUUUAGUAAGAAAAGAAGAAAAGUGAUAUUUUUUCUUGAGAGGGCUAUUAAUGUUCCCUAACCAAGUCUCUAACCUGACUUCAGUAUUUUGGUUGAUUUCCCAAAAGAUUGAAUUUUCAAAAUUAUGUAAUUUUGGUGCAAAUUCUCCUCUGAGCAUUUACUGCUACAGAGAGAGAGAGUUCAUGAUCAUUUUAAUACUUUAAGUCAUUUUAAACCCUGCUAGAUUAAAAUUCUUUAUAAAAUAUGAUGUGAAAACAUAUAGAUGGUUUUCUUAUUUAACAACUAAAAAUGUCAAGUAUCUUUUUGAUAUAAAAAGGUAUUUAUAAAAUAGUGUGUUAUUUUUUUGAUUUAUUAUAAUAUACUCAGUUAUUAUCUCUUCCUUUGGAUCCUUCCAUCAAAAUUGUCCGAAUGGACAGUGUUAUACUGAUUGUUACUGUCCCAUCUAAUCAGUCAAGAAGUUUGGAAACUUUAUUAUUUCAUGAUACAUUCAAUUGACCAAGCAGGUUUGUGCAUCUUUCUUACUAAAUAUAUUUUCAUUUUUCCCAUGCUCUUCUAUCUGCACAGUCAUUGUCUACCAUUAUGAAUGUCAUAUUUUACGUGGAUUACUGAAAGGAAUUUCCACAGACUAUUUUAUUUGUCCAUAUUGGAUCCUAAUCUAUUCACCUCCCUUCCUUUUGAUAGAGUGCUCUUUCUAGAAAAGAAAUUAUUGUGCUAACUCUCCGAUUUAACCACCAGUGAGUGGAUCUCCUUUUCUAGUGACAUCAUGUUACACUCAGUAGCAUGACAUAAAAGACCCUCCAGAAUUUGAUGUUUGCUUGAAGUUCCAGUUCUAUCCACAAUUUCUCUUUCCCUCAGAACCUGCAUUUCAGAUACGGAAAAUCCUUGUUAGUUCACUGAAAACACUCUUAAGACUUUGUACACACCACUUUCCACUGGACUUCUUUCCCUCCUUUGACUGUCUUCACAUAUCUUAUGCAAGUGUCUUCACAUUCACUUCUUAAUGUUUUUAUCAAACAUUUUCUCUUCUUUGAAGACCUGUGCCAUCUUCCUAGCCCAAUGUGAGGCAGUUCAUAGUGUUUGUCCCUUUCUUUUGGUUUGAUUUUUUUAUUCCAUUUCUCCCAAAAACUACCAUCUGGGGAGAAAAAUCAUGAAAUUUAUUUAGUUCUGUCAUCUUGCCACAUCUUUGUUGACUUCUUAUAUCUUUACUUUGUUUUAUAAUUGUAAUUUCUGUAUAAUGUUGUAUAUUCAUGACCCUGUGUAUAGGCAUGGUUUUUAUUUACCAUUAAACAAAUACCAUUUAUGCAUUUUAUUUACCAUAUCCAAAGUUUUCUUUGGCUAACGUUUUUUUUGCUUGCCAUCACCCUUUCCUGUUUCCUUUCUCUUUUCAUUAUGGAACAUCUUAUAUUUUCCUUGGUGUCUUUGUGAUUAUUGCUUUCCUUUCUCUAGGUUCUUCUAGGACUAAGAAAAUAGAGCCAAGUUUCUGGCUUAUGAGAACUUCUUGUGAAACAGGUGUGUAUUUUUUUUUGUGUGUGUGUGUGUGGCAAUAGAGAGAAAGAGAGGAUAUUUUUGACAUCACUCUUC
rnacentral:lncRNA from 1 species